ACGGAGAACAGAAGCUAGAGUGUGAACACAGAGGAAGGGGCAGACUGCAUGUGUGAGGACCUGCAAACAUAUGGCGAUAUCAGAUCAAGCACACGUUUUUCAGGGAAAACAGGCACCCAACACAGAGACUACAGUGGCACAAAAAAA